UAGGGAAUCUUCCACAAUGGACGAAAGUCUGAUGGAGCAACGCCGCGUGAGUGAAGAAGGAUUUCGGUUCGUAAAACUCUGUUGCAAGGGAAGAACAAGUAGCGUAGUAACUGGCGCUACCUUGACGGUACCUUGUUAGAAAGCCACGGCUAACUACGUGCCAGCAGCCGCGGUAAUACGUAGGUGGCAAGCGUUGUCCGGAAUUAUUGGGCGUAAAGCGCGCGCAGGUGGUUCCUUAAGUCUGAUGUGAAAGCCCCCGGCUCAACCGGGGAGGGUCAUUGGAAACUGGGGAACUUGAGUGCAGAAGAGGAUAGUGGAAUUCCAAGUGUAGCGGUGAAAUGCGUAGAGAUUUGGAGGAACACCAGUGGCGAAGGCGACUGUCUGGUCUGUAACUGACACUGAGGCGCGAAAGCGUGGGGAGCAAACAGGAUUAGAUACCCUGGUAGUCCACGCCGUAAACGAUGAGUGCUAAGUGUUGGGGGGUUUCCGCCCGUCAGUGCUGCAGCUAACG
rnacentral:rRNA from 1 species